AUGAACACUAAUGACCUCAAACUCAGGUUGUCCAAAGCUGAGCAAGAACACCCACUACGUGUCUGGAGUGAGCUUGAAGAAGCCCAACAGGUAGAACUUUAUGCAGAGCUCUAGGCCUUCAACUUUGAGGAACUGAACUUCUUCUUCUAAAAGGCCAUUGAAGGAUUUAACCAGUCCUCUCAUCAAGAAAAGGUGGAUGCGUGAAUGGAACUUGUCCCUCGAGAGGUACUGGGCAGUGCUACAGGGAAGCUAGAUCAGCUCCAGGCCUGGGAAAGCAAAGAACUUUUCCAGAUUUCUCAGAACAAAGUAACAGUUUUUCUAGUUGGUGGACAAGGGACUAGACUCAUUGCAUAUCCAAAGGGGAUGUAUGAUGUUGGUUUGCCAUCCCAUAAGACACUUUUUCAGAUUCAAGCAGAGCAUAUCCUGAAGCUACAAUAGUUAGCUGAAAAAUGUUAUGGCAACAAAUGCAUUAUUCCAUAUAAUGAUCAGUGGCAGAACAGCGGAAUCUACAAGGAGUUCUUCACCAAGCACAAGUACUUUGGUUUAAAAAGAAAAGAAAAUAUAAUCCUUUUUUCAGCAAGGAAUGCUCCCUGCCAUGAGUUUUGAUGGGCAAAUUAUUUUGGAAGAGAAGAACAAAGUUUCUAUUGCUCCACAUGAGAAUGGUGGUCUUUAUUGGGCUCUUGCAGCCUGGCAUAUUGUGGAGGAUAUGGUGCAAAGAGGCAUUUGGAGCAUUCAUGUCUAUUGUGUUGACAACAUAUUAGUAAAAGUGGCAGGCCCACGGUUCAUUGGAUUUUGCAUUCAGAAAGGAGCAGACUGUGGAGCAAAGGUGGUAGAGAAAACAAACCCUGCAGAACCAGUUGGAGUGGUUUGCCGAGUGGAUGGAGUUUACCAGGUGGUAGAAUAUAGUGAUGUUUCCCUGGCAACAACUCAAAAACAAAGCUCAAAUGGAUGAUUGCCGUUCAAUGUGGAGAAUAUUGCCAACCAUUUAUUCACCGUACCAUUUCUGAGGAUGUUGUCAAUGUUUAUGAACCUCAGUUGCAGCACCAUGUGGCUCAAAAGAAGAUUCCUUAUGUGGAUACCCAACAGCACUUAAUUAAGCCAGAUAAACCCAGUGGAAUCAGUAUGGAAAAAUUUGUCUUUGACAUCUAGUUUGCAAAGAAGUUUGUGGUUUAUGAAAUAUUAUGGGAAGAUGACUUUUCCACACUAAAGAAUGCUGACAGUCAGAAUGGGAAAGACAAUUUUACUACCGCAAGGCACACUUUCAUUAUUGCUGGGUUCUCAAUGCAGGGGUCACUUUAUAGAUGAAAAUGGCUCUCAUCUUCCAGCAAUUUCCCACUUAAAGGAUUCCAAUGAUGUACCAGUCCAGUGUGAAAUUUCUCCUCUUAUCUCUAAUGCUGAGGAAGGAAUAGAAAGUUAUGUACAGAUGUAGAAUUCCAUGCAUCUUUAAUCAUCGAUGAGAAUGGAGUUCAUGAGCUGGUGAAAAAUGGAAUAUGA